rnacentral:rRNA from 1 species
UGGGGAAUAUUGGACAAUGGGCGAAAGCCUGAUCCAGCCAUGCCGCGUGUGUGAAGAAGGUCUUCGGAUUGUAAAGCACUUUAAGUUGGGAGGAAGGGCAUUAACCUAAUACGUUAGUGUUUUGACGUUACCGACAGAAUAAGCACCGGCUAACUCUGUGCCAGCAGCCGCGGUAAUACAGAGGGUGCAAGCGUUAAUCGGAAUUACUGGGCGUAAAGCGCGCGUAGGUGGUUUGUUAAGUUGGAUGUGAAAGCCCCGGGCUCAACCUGGGAACUGCAUCCAAAACUGGCAAGCUAGAGUACGGUAGAGGGUGGUGGAAUUUCCUGUGUAGCGGUGAAAUGCGUAGAUAUAGGAAGGAACACCAGUGGCGAAGGCGACCACCUGGACUAAUACUGACACUGAGGUGCGAAAGCGUGGGGAGCAAACA